UUAUAAAUAACGUUCACAACCCUUACUAUGCUCGUUACCAAUGAGUAGAUGGGAUGGGGCAGGACAUGCAGUGCGUCAAGCAUCUCAAAUAAAACCAAAAAACUGUCUACACAGACGCCCGGACUACGGAGAUGCCGGUUGAUGAGCGGGAGCAGCUUGGAUGAAAUGAUUGAAUAACACUUAUGUGUACAUUUAUUUCGUUGCGCUCGCACACGCAACCUGGGCGGUCUAGUCACGGAGUCAAGCGCUUCAUGGUGGAUUCAUUAGAGGAGUUUCUCUAGUUUCAAGAAACUUUAUUCUAAUAUGUACAUGUACUAGGCUAUAGAUACAGUAUGUUUACGAUUGUAGCCUAAAAUACGCUGAUUUCAAGAUAAUAGUGUGGAACACACACACUUGGAAAGACUAACGCAGUGAGAAAGGAGCCACGCACUCAGGGUUAGGAUUUACUGGAACCAGGACAUAUCCAUCCUUUUAGUGACGUAGUUCAUCCGGAUUGUGGGAAUCCCAUUGAACUGACCAGGAAGAUGAGUAUACACGUUCCCGCUGCACCUUGGUCCAAUCCUUACGACGCCCGUUACAGAACUACCCACCACCAACGGACCAAGCAGCGGGGUAAGGAGCUGGAGAGGAGCUAUCGGGAGUCGUGGACCUGGGAGGAGAUCCUAGCCGGAGAGGGACCAUGGAGGAAGGCUGGAGAGGACCGGGAGUGUUUUGCUGGAACACGGUUGGCAUGGAAGCCUGAGAGGCAGCCCCAUAUUUUUUUUUGGGGGGGGGGCACACGGGUAGUUUGGCUGGGCCAGGGUUGAGCCAUAAGCCAACUCCCCGUGCUAACCAGAGGCAGCGUGGUACUGGUCAGGCCCCGUGCUAUGGGGUGAUGCGCACGGCGUCGAGGCCAAGCAUC
rnacentral:lncRNA from 1 species